AGGGUGGUGGAACAUUCCCAGAUGAACCGAAUGUCUGCCCAGAGCCUGGCCAUUGUCUUCGGCCCAACUCUGCUGCGACCGGAAAAGGAUUUCCUCAACAUGGCCAUACACACAGUCUACCAGAACCAGAUUGUGGAGCUCAUCCUGAUCGAGUACAGCAGCCUGUUCGCCCCAGAGAGCAGGCCACCGUGACCCCAUGAAGAAUGGCAUCUCUUUGGAAUCCUCUGGAGUGUGCGACGAGAGAAGACGACCGAUCUCUAUGGGUAUGGGUGCCAGACCUGCCCUGCCCUUAGCACCCUGAUGUCAUCUCCUUCCCCAUACCACCCCCACCCCCUAUGAUGUGGCCAGACGGUUCCUCGGACAGGCCCCCCUGGGAACCUCGCUGUUUCCUGCUGUUGCCUCUCUCCCUGUCUCCCUGACUGAGCUUGGUCCCCUGUUGCCAGUGCCUGCUGGCUCCCAGUGACUGAGACCAGGAGACCAGGAGGGCAGGAGCCUUGCUGUGUUUGAUCGAAUACAAACCAACCUCAUCUGUCUCUCUGUGUGUGUGUGUGUGGGGGAGAGAGAGAGAGAGAGAGAGACAGAGACAGCUGGAGCAAUCUCUCUCUCUCCACUGCCUUUCUCGUGUUUCGCUGCCGGGACAGGAGCUUGCAAAUACGUGACAGCGAGCAAACGCCUCCAAGAUUUGUUUUUACAUAUAAGGCAGAGAAUUUAUAUUUUUCACUCGCUAAUGGAAAGCACUUGCAAGAAUAAAUUGGCACUGAUUCUGA